CCUACGGGGGGCAGCAGUGGGGAAUAUUGGACAAUGGGGGCAACCCUGAUCCAGCCAUGCCGCGUGUGUGAAGAAGGCCCUCGGGUUGUAAAGCACUUUCAGUGAGGAAGAACGCCUGGUGGUUAAUACCCAUCAGGAAAGACAUCACUCACAGAAGAAGCACCGGCUAACUCCGUGCCAGCAGCCGCGGUAAUACGGAGGGUGCGAGCGUUAAUCGGAAUUACUGGGCGUAAAGCGCGCGUAGGUGGCUUGAUAAGCCGGUUGUGAAAGCCCCGGGCGCAACCUGGGAACGGCAUCCGGAACUGUCAAGCUAGAGUGCAGGAGAGGAAGGUAGAAUUCCCGGUGUAGCGGUGAAAUGCGUAGAGAUCGGGAGGAAUACCAGUGGCGAAGGCGGCCUUCUGGACUGACACUGACACUGAGGUGCGAAAGCGUGGGUAGCAAACAGGAUUAGAUACCCUAGUAGUC
rnacentral:rRNA from 1 species